CUAAGCUUGACAUCCUUUUGACCGAUGCCUAAUCGCAUCUUUCCCUUCGGGGACAGAAGUGACAGGUGGUGCAUGGUUGUCGUCAGCUCGUGUCGUGAGAUGUUGGGUUAAGUCCCGCAACGAGCGCAACCCUUGCCUUUAGUUGCCAGCAUUAAGUUGGGCACUCUAGAGGGACUGCCAGGGAUAACCUGGAGGAAGGUGGGGAUGACGUCAAAUCAUCAUGCCCCUUAUGCUUAGGGCUACACACGUGCUACAAUGGGUGGUACAGAGGGCAGCCAAGUCGUGAGGCGGAGCUAAUCCCUUAAAGCCAUUCUCAGUUCGGAUUGUAGGCUGAAACUG
rnacentral:rRNA from 1 species